rnacentral:rRNA from 1 species
UUCCUACGGGGGGCAGCAGUGAGGAAUAUUGGUCAAUGGGAGAGAUCCUGAACCAGCCAAGCCGCGUGAGGGAAGACGGCCCUUUGGGUUGUAAACCUCUUUUGUCGGAGAACAAAACCCGGGACGUGUCCCGGACUGCGUGUAUCCGAAGAAAAAGCAUCGGCUAACUCCGUGACAGCAGCCGCGGUAAUACGGAAGGUCCGGGCGUUAUCCGGAUUUAUUGGGUUUAAAGGGAGCGUAGGCCGGCUUUUAAGU